rnacentral:rRNA from 1 species
AAAUUGAAGAGUUUGAUCAUGGCUCAGAUUGAACGCUGGCGGCAGGCCUAACACAUGCAAGUCGAGCGGUAGCACAGAGAGCUUGCUCUCGGGUGACGAGCGGCGGACGGGUGAGUAAUGUCUGGGAAACUGCCUGAUGGAGGGGGAUAACUACUGGAAA